GUUGUGAAAAAUCUGAGAAUAAGACAUCCUUGAGACAGAACCAGAUUUAAACACGUGAGAAAUUGUCAUACUUUGCCUAGCUUUACUGUAGGAGUUACACCAAUUCCAAAUUACCCUUUUGAGCCAGAUCAAAAUAAUGAUAAUAAUGCUAUUACUGUUUUGCAAAUAAGCAAACUGAGGCACACAACUGUCAAAUUAUUUACUCAGGCCAUCACCCAAUUAGGAAGACAGAAAUGUUAACCCGGACAUCCUGUUACUAACUUCUGGAGACAUCCUCCGGUCGCAUGGGGAAGGUCAGAAAGCAUUAACAAGGACUUGAAGGACAAUGCUGACGGAGCAGAGGCGAAACAUGACUUCAGAACUAUGAAAGUUAAUUGAGGAAGAAAACAGAAUCAACGGAGCUGUUACAGAAUCCAAAUCUAUACAAAAACCGGGAGCAAACACAUCGUUUCCGAGACAGAAGGAUUAGAUCCAGGAGCCGCAGUGACAGCUGUGUGUGCGUCCCCGGAAAGUUCCCCCGAAGGGGACAGGGUCCACUCCCACGACCCCAGGAAGGGGCGUCCUGCCUGGAAGAGCCGAGACCUCCGGGCCGUAGCUUCCGGGACGCUAGCUUUGGGAGACCCACCAGGAGCGGCAGCCGAGUCCGCAGCGACCCGGAAGUGCAGUCUCUGCCGGAAGUGCUGCCACUGCCCUCCGCACGCCCCCUGACUCUCGGCCCUGACAGCCCCGUGGCCCCCUCCUCUCCUAGGGUCCCUGUUAAUGAGAAAUAUACCCAGCUUCUUUGGCUUCGCUCCAGUCUUUUGGAUAAAAAUCGAUAGCCUCUCAGAUGACUGGGAUUCAAGUUUUUCUCCAGCUUCACUUUCUGGUUUGUAUAAUCAAAAUAAUUGUGG